AUAGAGGAUUAGGUCUAUACUAACCUGUAGAUUAUAUUAUAGAGGAUUAGGUCUAUACUAACCUGUAGAUUAUAUUAUAGAGCAUUAGGUCUGUACUAACCUGUAGAUUAUAUUAUAGAGCAUUAGGUCUAUACUAACCUGUAGAUUAUAUUAUAGAGCAUUAUGUCUAUACUAACCUGUAGAUUAUAUUAUAGAGGAUUAGGUCUAUACUAACCUGUAGAUUAAAUGAUAGAGCAGUAGGUCUAUACUAACCUGUAGAUUAUAUUAUAGAGCAUUAUGUCUAUACUAACCUGUAGAUUAUAUUAUAGAGGAUUAGGUCUAUACUAACCUGUAGAUUAAAUGAUAGAGCAGUAGGUCUAUACUAACCUGUAGAUUAUAUUAUAGAGCAUUAGGUCUAUACUAACCUGUAGAUUAUAUUAUAGAGGAUUAGGUCUAUACUAACCUGUAGAUUAUAUUAUAGAGGAUUAGGUCUAUACUAACCUGUAGAUUAUAUUAUAGAGGAUUAGGUCUAUACUAACCUGUAGAUUAUAUUAUAGAGGAUUAGGUCUAUACUAACCUGUAGAUUAUAUUAUAGAGGAUUAGGUCUAUACUAACCUGUAGAUUAUAUUAUAGAGCAUUAGGUCUAUACUAACCUGUAGAUUAUAUUAUAGAGGAUUAGGUCUAUACUAACCUGUAGAUUAUAUUAUAGAGGAUUAGGUCUAUACUAACCUGUAGAUUAUAUUAUAGAGCAUUAGGUCUAUACUAACCUGUAGAUUAUAUUAUAGAGGAUUAGGUCUAUACUAACCUGUAGAUUAUAUUAUAGAGGAUUAGGUCUAUACUAACCUGUAGAUUAUAUUAUAGAGCAUUAGGUCUAUACUAACCUGUAGAUUAUAUUAUAGAGGAUUAGGUCUAUACUAACCUGUAGAUUAUAUUAUAGAGGAUUAUGUCUAUACUAACCUGUAGAUUAUAUUAUAGAGGAUUAGGUCUAUACUAACCUGUAGAUUAUAUUAUAGAGGAUUAGGUCUAUACUAACCUGUAGAUUAUAUUAUAGAGGAUUAGGUCUAUACUAACCUGUAGAUUAUAUUAUAGAGCAUUAGGUCUAUACUAACCUGUAGAUUAUAUUACAGAGCAUUAGGUCUAUACUAACCUGUAGAUUAUAUUAUAGAGCAUUAGGUCUAUACUAACCUGUAGAUUAUAUUAUAGAGGAUUAUGUCUAUACUAACCUGUAGAUUAUAUUAUAGAGGAUUAGGUCUAUACUAACCUGUAGAUUAUAUUAUAGAGGAUUAGGUCUAUACUAACCUGUAGAUUAUAUUAUAGAGGAUUAGGUCUAUACUAACCUGUAGAUUAUAUUAUAGAGGAUUAGGUCUAUACUAACCUGUAGAUUAUAUUAUAGAGCAUUAGGUCUAUACUAACCUGUAGAUUAAAUGAUAGGAAAUCAGGGGUCUCCAACCUUUUCUAGCAUGAGAGCUACUUUUAAAUUAUGAAACAUUUCACAAGAUACACG